GUCUGCGGCCUAUCAGGUAGUAGUGGGUGUAGCGUACCUACUAGCCUACGACGGGUACGGGUUGUGAGAGCAAGAGCCCGGAGAUGGAUUCUGAGACACGAAUCCAGGCCCUACGGGGUGCAGCAGGCGCGAAAACUUUACAAUGCCGGCAACGGCGAUAAGGGGACCUCGAGUGCCAGGUUACAAAUCUGGCUGUCGUGAUGCCUAAAAAGCAUUGCAUAGCAAGGGCCGGGCAAGACCGGUGCCAGCCGCCGCGGUAACACCGGCGGCUCGAGUGGUAACCGUUAUUAUUGGGUCUAAAGGGUCUGUAGCCGGCCGGAUAAGUCUCUUGAGAAAUCCAGCAGCUCAACUGUUGGGCUUUCAGGAGAUACUGUUCGGCUCGAGGCCGGGAGAGGUGAGAGGUACUUCAGGGGUAGGGGUGAAAUCUUGUAAUCCUUGAAGGACCACCAGUGGCGAAGGCGUCUCACCAGAACGGACCUGACGGCAAGGGACGAAAGCUAGGGGCACGAACCGGAUUAGAUACCCGGGUAGUCCUAGCCGUAAACGAUACUCGCUAGGUGUCGGCCACGGUGCGACCGUUGUCGGUGCCGUAGGGAAGCCGUGAAGCGAGC
rnacentral:rRNA from 1 species